CAGCAGCCACGGGAAUACAGAGGGUGCGAGCGUUAAUCGGAUUUACUGGGCGUAAAGCGUGCGUAGGCGGCUUCUUAAGUCGGAUGUGAAAUCCCUGAGCUUAACUUAGGAAUUGCAUUCGAUACUGGGAAGCUAGAGUAUGGGAGAGGAUGGUAGAAUUCCAGGUGUAGCGGUGAAAUGCGUAGAGAUCUGGAGGAAUACCGAUGGCGAAGGCAGCCAUCUGGCCUAAUACUGACGCUGAGGUACGAAAGCAUGGGGAGCAAACAGGAUUAGAUACCCGUGUAGUCCCUGUCUCUUAUAU
rnacentral:rRNA from 1 species